CCUGAGCUCCUGUCAGAAAAGCAGAGAGCUGAUGAAGAUGGAUGUGACAACCGAGAGGAAUGGUGUGGGAAGGAAGUGGAUGGUCUCACAGCUUGGCCGCGUUCUCCAACAAAAGAUUGCAGGAUUAAAUGAGGAACACUGCACACACAGGCUUUCUAACCUCUGCUGGGCUUAGAGCAAUGACAACUAGCAACAAGAAACCCAUCGUUUUGAAUGACCAGGAGAGCAUAUCUAUUGAGUUUAUCAGUUGUAGCCGUCACUAAGUAAUCCAUGCAGCUGCGGUGAGACCUACAACGAUGUACAGGCAACCAGGACAGUAAAGAUUCAUAGAGCUUGGAUCCAGGCACCGGUUUCAAGGGCCAGCAGGGUACAGUCGUUAAGUAAACGAGACACACUGUGACAGGGUCUGCGGAAUGACAUUCACAGGAGAUUGCUGAGAUUACAACAGAAAUGGGGGGGGGGGGUUCCAUCUUCAAGUCACUGGCCUCUUAACAUGUGUGACACUGCUUAAACAGAGACAUAAAUGUCUUUAUACUUGCACAGGGUCCUAGAAAAAAACCCCAACACAUAGUACUGGAGCACAACAGUGAGAGACUCAAGCACUUUGGUGUAGGAAUUCAUUAGAAAUAUCUGUUGUGUAAUAAAACCUCACAAAUAUUUAUUAUCUGAAUACCUAGAGAUAAACCAGAUGUGAACAUGCCACCUCUGAAACCUGUUCCCUAAAUGACAGAACAGAGUAGCUACUAUGAAGCAGCCCAGCUCCAUGGCUUGCUCUGUGUGUGUGUGAAAGGCCCACAUGAGAAAUCUCUUCUCAGAACAGAUAUCUUGUGAUUUUUAUGCCUGUAAGGAUGGUCCUGAAAGAAUAAAAGCAAUGGACAUGCACGUACAACUGUGCUUGCAGGCAUCAGCCUCUAAGAAAAGAGCACAGGA